AACGAACGCUGGCGGCAUGCCUAACACAUGCCAGUCGAACGAGACCUUCGGGUCUAGUGGCGCAUGGGUGCGUAACGCGUGGGAACCUGCCCUUAGGUUCGGAAUAACUCCCCGAAAGGGGUGCUAAUACCGGAUAAUGUCUUCGGACCAAAGAUUUAUCGCCUUUGGAUGGGCCCGCGUUGGAUUAGCUAGUUGGUAGGGUAAAAGCCUACCAAGGCGACGAUCCAUAGCUGGUCUGAGAGGAUGAUCAGCCACACUGGGACUGAGACACGGUCCAGACUCCUACGGGAGGCAGCAGUGGGGAAUAUUGGACAAUGGGCGAAAGCCUGAUCCAGCAAUGCCGCGUGAGUGAUGAAGGCCUUAGGGUUGUAAAGCUCUUUUACCCGGGAUGAUAAUGACAGUACCGGGAGAAUAAGCGCCGGCUAACUCCGUG
rnacentral:rRNA from 1 species